rnacentral:rRNA from 1 species
GACUCGUCACACUAUCAUUAACUGAAUCCAUAGGUUAAUGAGGCGAACCGGGGGAACUGAAACAUCUAAGUACCCCGAGGAAAAGAAAUCAACCGAGAUUCCCCCAGUAGCGGCGAGCGAACGGGGAGGAGCCCAGAGCCUGAAUCAGCAUGUGUGUUAGUGGAAGCGUCUGGAAAGGCGCGCGAUACAGGGUGACAGCCCCGUACACAAAAGCGCAUAUGCUGUGAGCUCGAUGAGUAGGGCGGGACACGUGGUAUCCUGUCUGAAUAUGGGGGGACCAUCCUCCAAGGCUAAAUACUCCUGACUGACCGAUAGUGAACCAGUACCGUGAGGGAAAGGCGAAAAGAACCCCGGCGAGGGGAGUGAAAAAGAACCUGAAACCGUGUA